AGUCUACCGAGGAGGUACCAACAGUCGUAUUAGAGGCCAUGAUUAAUGAACCAGCUUGAGAGGAAAAAAACAGUUUCGACAAGCAAAGUAUAGCGGUACCAGAUACUCACCUACAAAGCAUACAAUAUUCAAAUAAGGACAGGGUUACCCUCCUUCUUCGCGACCGGAGAAGAUCGGCCUUCAAUCAACAGAGAAAACCCUAGGUCCAACACUGGAAAUCCUAGGUUCUGAAACUCACCAGAAUAAAGUCACAGA
rnacentral:lncRNA from 1 species